rnacentral:rRNA from 1 species
CCUACGGGAGGCAGCAGUGAGGAAUAUUGGUCAAUGGGCGAGAGUCUGAACCAGCCAAGUAGCGUGCGGGAAGACGGUCCUAUGGAUUGUAAACCGCUUUUAUGAGGGAGCAAGGAGCGCCACGAGUGGCUCGGCGCGGGUACCGGAUGAAAAAGCAUCGGCUAACUCCGUGCCAGCAGCCGCGGUAAUACGGAGGAUGCGAGCGUUAUCCGGAUUUAUUGGGUUUAAAGGGUGCGCAGGCGGAAGCGGCAAGGCAGCGGUAAAAUUGCGGGGCUAAACCUGGCCGAGCCGGUGAAACUGCUCUUCUAGAGUGGGCGAGAAGUAUGCGGAAUGCGUGGUGUAGCGGUGAAAUGCAUAGAUAUCACGCAGAACUCCGAUUGCGAAGGCAGCAUACCGGCGCCCAACUGACGCUCAUGCACGAAAGCGUGGGUAUCGAACAGGAUUAGAUACCCGUGUAAUC